CCUACGGGAGGCAGCAGUGAGGAAUAUUGCGCAAUGGACGAAAGUCUGACGCAGCCAUGCCGCGUGAAGGAUGACGGCCCUAUGGGUUGUAAACUUCUUUUAUAUACCAAGAAACCUCGGGACGUGUCCCGAGCUGACGGUAGUGUAUGAAUAAGCACCGGCUAACUCCGUGCCAGCAGCCGCGGUAAUACGGAGGGUGCAAGCGUUAUCCGGAUUUAUUGGGUUUAAAGGGUCCGUAGGUGGACCAUUAAGUCAGAAGUGAAAGCCCGCGGCUCAACCGCGGAAUUGCUUUUGAUACUGGUGGUCUUGAGUGUGCUCGAAGUUGGCGGAAUAUGACAUGUAGCGGUGAAAUGCUUAGAUAUGUCAUAGAACACCGAUUGCGAAGGCAGCCAACUAGGUCACAACUGACACUGAGGGACGAAAGCGUGGGGAGCGAACAG
rnacentral:rRNA from 1 species